GAUGAACGCUGGCGGCGUGCCUAAUACAUGCAAGUCGAGCGAACAGACGAGGAGCUUGCUCCUCUGACGUUAGCGGCGGACGGGUGAGUAACACGUGGAUAACCUACCUAUAAGACUGGGAUAACUUCGGGAAACCGGAGCUAAUACCGGAUAAUAUAUUGAACCGCAUGGUUCAAUAGUGAAAGACGGUUUUGCUGUCACUUAUAGAUGGAUCCGCGCCGCAUUAGCUAGUUGGUAAGGUAACGGCUUACCAAGGCAACGAUGCGUAGCCGACCUGAGAGGGUGAUAGGCCACACUGGAACUGAGACACGGUCCAGACUCCUACGGGAGGCAGCAGUAGGGAAUCUUCCGCAAUGGGCGAAAGCCUGACGGAGCGACGCCGCGUGAGUGAUGAAGGUCUUCGGAUCGUAAAACUCUGUUAUUAGGGAAGAACAAAUGUGUAAGUAACUAUGCACGUCUUGACGGUACCUAAUCAGAAAGCCACGGCUAACUACGUG
rnacentral:rRNA from 1 species